CGCAGCGGGAUUGGCGGCGCCGCGCGCUGCCGGCCGAUAAAGGUCUCGCGGCGGCGUUUGACGUCACGCGGAGUUAAUUUUAAACCCGGACAAGAUGGCGGAAGGGGACGCGGCGCGGGGCGGCCAGCGCGCGGGGCCGCCAGAUAAGAGUUUUGAGGAGGAUGCCCUGGUAGACUCCGAUGCCCUGGUCGACUUGGAAGAUGAAGCAGAUUUGAAGACGCCUUGCCCUAUACAAAUUGUUCUUGCGCAUGAAGAUGACCAUAACUUUGAACUUGAUGAAGAGGCGUUGGAGAACAUUUUGCUUCAGGAACACAUAAAAGAUCUCAAUAUAGUAGUUGUCUCUGUAGCAGGGGCUUUCCGCAAAGGGAAAUCAUUUCUACUGGACUUCAUGCUUAGAUAUAUGUACAACAAGAAUUCCUCAUGUUGGAUAGGUGGGAACAACGAGCCAUUGACUGGAUUUACAUGGAGAGGUGGAUGUGAAAGAGAAACAACUGGCAUUCAGAUUUGGAGCGAAGUGUUUGUAAUUGGCAAGUCUGAUGGGACAAAGGUGGCUGUACUACUUAUGGAUACCCAAGGUGCCUUCGAUAGCCAAUCCACUAUCAAAGACUGUGCGACGGUGUUUGCUCUGAGCACCAUGACGAGUUCUGUCCAGGUUUACAACUUGUCCCAGAACAUUCAAGAAGAUGAUCUCCAACAUUUGCAGUUGUUUACAGAGUAUGGAAGACUUGCUAUGGAAGAAAUUUACCAAAAGCCAUUUCAGACACUAAUGUUCUUAAUUAGAGAUUGGAGCUAUCCUUAUGAACACUCGUAUGGCUUGGAAGGAGGAAAAAAAUUUCUAGAAAAGCGAUUGCAGGUAAAGCAAAACCAGCACGAAGAGCUACAGAACGUAAGGAAGCAUAUUCGCUCAUGUUUCAGCAACCUUGGCUGUUUCCUGUUGCCCCACCCUGGUCUUAAAGUUGCGACUAAUCCAAAUUUUGAUGGGAGGUUGAAUGACAUUGAUGAUGAUUUCAAGAGAGAGCUGCGGAAUCUGGUUCCAUUACUACUUGCUCCUGAAAACUUGGUAGAGAAAGAGAUCAGUGGAUCCAAGGUGACUUGUAGAGAUCUUGUAGAAUAUUUUAAGGCUUACAUUAAAAUCUAUCAGGGAGAGGCGCUACCUCAUCCUAAAUCAAUGCUCCAGGCAACAGCUGAAGCCAACAAUCUUGCUGCAGUAGCAGGAGCAAAAGACACCUACAACAAAGGCAUGGAGCAGGUUUGUGGAGGAGAUAAGCCUUACAUUGCUCCGUCAGACCUGGAGAGACAGCACCAGGAUUUUAAGGAGUCAGCUGUCAGACAGUUCUGUUCUGUGAAAAAAAUGGGAGGAGAGGAGUUCUGCCGUCGCUACCAGGACCAGCUUGAGGCGGAGCUGGAUGAAAUCUAUGCAAACUUUGUGAAGCACAAUGAUGGCAAAAACAUCUUUUAUGCUGCUCGUACCCCUGCCACUCUGUUUGCUGUUAUGUUUGCCAUGUAUAUCAUCUCAGGACUGACUGGCUUCCUUGGUAUGAACUCCAUCGCUAGCCUGUGCAAUCUCGUCAUGGGGCUAGCACUGAUAUCCCUUUGUACUUGGGCAUAUGUUAAGUACUCUGGGGAAUUCAGAGAAGUUGGAACAGCCAUUGAUCAAAUCGCUGAAGCACUAUGGGAACAGGUAAGUUUGAAAACCCGGUGAAGAAUUCUUAGAGAGGUAAGUUGAAGUUGUUGAACGUCUUCAUUUCUGAUAUGGUGCAUGCGAGACUCCAUUGAUCUACUGGAGCAAGAACUGUGACGCCACAACACUGCCCAGAAUCAUCUCUGUAUCUGUCAUCCCCUUGCUGUUGGACAGCAUGCAUGGCACUGAAGAGAAAGCUAAUUAAAGGCUGCAGGGAAGAAAAUUAGAGGUAAUGAAUACCUGCAAGGAGUCCAGCUUGCAGCAGCUUCCAUAGGAGAGAUGGCUGUGUUUUCUCAUAUUGGGAAGACAGACUGUUUUAAACGUUACUAAUAAUAUUUUGAGUAGCAUAGUGGCUAGUAUAGUUGCCCACGUAAAAACGUUUGCCGGAACCAGUGGUUCUCAACCUGUGGCCUAAUCAGUGCACAGCUGUGGCCCAUGCGACAUUCUCAGGGCCAUACAAGUAAUAUAUAUUUUGCGUGGAUGUGGUAUAUAACUCAGAAAGCUGCAUAUGUGGCCCACAAUGGUAAAUAGUUGGAGAACCACUGGCUGGAACAAUUUGCCUUUCUUUUUAAAGCUAACAUAUGAUAUGACCUUACAUUAAGGUAGCAAAUGGUGGUAGAUGAAUUUUCAUUCAACUCUUAAUCUGGGAACAUGUAAUUCUGCCUUUAUAGCCUCAAGCCAAUCUUGUUACUACUUUAUCUGAUUGGCCAACUAUAUGGGUCCAACUUUGAGGUUAGAACAUAGGAUUUUUGACUGCUUUUCAGAGACUGAAUAGGGAAUGCCUUUAGGAAAGGUUACUGGAGAUUCUAUAGUUCUAGUACCUGUAGUGUAGUGGAUGUGAUGCUUUGAGUAAAAAUAGGCAAUGACUUGUGCUGAGAUCUCAGAUGAGAGAUGUGAUGCUAAAAAGUGACAAGCAAAUAGUUGUGUGAGGUAGAAAAUAAAUACUUAAGGCCUCACAAUGGAAACUGAUUGUUUAAUUACUGAAUCUCAGUUCAGGAUUACUGUAUGUGAGAUGGUACGGGGCAAUGUGCAGGAUGAUCAAUCUCUGUUCUCAGCUAUGUAGGUUACCUUUGACAGAUUUUUUUUCUCAAAUUACAGGAAGCAAAACUAGACAAUAGGUUUGUAAUUUGAGGAAAUCAGUUAAAUUCUCGUAAUUUACUUUCUGUGUCCUAAUUCCUGAAGCUUUGAAAAAAUCCAUACCCUCCUGCAGUCUGAUAUAAAUUCUGACUUCAGAAUUGUUUUGUCCUAGCUUGAAGUGGCUUCCUCGAGUCUAGACUUCAUCAGCUUCACAUGUAAAACUAGGGUUUCUAAGCAUGCGGUUGGGUCCUUACUCCAAGGAAGAGACCAGGUCAUAGUAAAUCAACACUUCAGUUUUGCUGGCAGAGCUAUGUUGGUUCAGGGUGUGUGAAGGAAAAUCACACCCUUAACUGACCUAGCUGUGCUGACGAAGACUCUGGUAUAGAUGCAGUUAUACUAGCAUAAAAGCCUUUUCCUGGUGUCACUUACUUUGCUUGGGAACUCUCUUGCUGGUGAAAGCUCCAUUCCUACUACGAGGGUUUGCCAGUACAGCUGUACUGACUAACCCUUUCUAGUGUAGACUCUGUGACCGAACCCGUCACAGAGACCCCCUUGGGACUGUCACCUGAUGGGCUGAAAUUAUCUCUGAGCCCGUUUUCCCUGCCAACUUGAGACUCCAGAACCCUGCCUUGUUGAGCCAGACAUGCUAGCCUGCUGCAGUACAGACCCAGGUCUGGUCCAUACCCCCAAAGCUGCAGACUUUAACCAAAUACUGCUCAGCAGGUCACCUAUCUCCAGCACCCAGAAACCCAGUUCCCAAUGGGAUCCAAACCCCAAAUAAAUCCAUUUUACUCUGUAUAAAGCUUACAUAGGGUAAACUCAUAAAUUGUCCACCCUCUAUAACACUGAACAUAGAAUCAUAGAAUAUCAGGGUUGGAAGGGACCUCAGGAGGUCCUCUAGUCCAACCCCCUGCUCAAAGCAGGACCAAUCCCCAACUAAAUCAGAGAGAUGCACAGCUGUUUGCUCCCUCAGGUAUUAAUCACUUACUCUGGUUCAUUAAUAAACAAAAGUGAGUUUAUGAAGUAUAAAAAGUAGGAUUUAAGUGGUUUCAAGUAAUAACACAGAGAACAAAGUAAGUCACCAAGCAAAAUAAAGCAAAACACACAAGUCUAAGCCUAAUACAUUAAGAAACUCUUUACAGGUAAAUCUCACCCUUAGAGAUGUUCCCAUAAGCUUCUUUCACAGACUAGACUCCUUCCUAGUCUGGGCCCAAUCCUUUCCUCGGUACAUUCCUUGUUAGUUCCAGCAGGCAUCUUAAGUGAAAAGCAGUGGCUUUCUCAUGAUUGGGACCACCUGUUUGUUCUCUCCCACCCCCCUCUUAUAGCUUUGCACAAAGCAGGAAUCUCUUGUCUCUCUGGAUCCCCACCCCUCCUUCUAAAUGGAAAAGCACCAGGUUUAAGAUGGAUUCCAUCAUUCUCUCUGGGUUGGCUUACAUGAACACAGGAGGGCUUGCAAGUAAACAGAGCCAUUUACAACCAAUUGUCCUAGUCAAUGGGAGCCAGCAAGAUUGUAAGCCAUCAUCAAUGGCCCACACUUUGCAUAAUUACAAUAGGACCUCAGAGUUGUAUCUGAAGCUAGAAAUAUAAAGUAUAAGACUGAUACAUGCAUACAAAUCAGAUGAACACACUCAGUAGAUUAUAAGCUUUGUAAUGAUACUUUACAAGGGAUCUUUUGCAUGAAGCAUAUUCCAGUUACAUCAUAUCCACACUCGUAAGCAUAUUUCCAUAAACAUAUGGAGUGCAACGUCACGGACAACACCUGUCAUUGCCAUUGGACUAUGCAUUAUACUGUGAGAUAAGAACCAGUUCCUCUCCGAUUGCUAGCCUAAGGCCUGGCUUACACUUAAAAAUGAGAUUGACCUAUUUGUGUUGCUCAGAGCUGUAGUUAGUUCAACCUAGCCCUCAGUGUAGCCGCGGCUCCUCUGAUGGAAGAAUUCUUCUGUUGACCUAGCUCCCACCUCUGAGAGAUGGAUUAGCUACAUCUGUGAUGGAUGGGUUCUUCCCAAUGUAAGAAACGUCCACACUAUAGCUCUCUAGGGGUACAGCUGCAGCAGCUGUAGUGUAGAUGUGCCCAUCAUCAUUCUGAAACUGAAGAUGGAUUCCUUUGUCCCAUGUCUCAUGCAUGUUGUUGCUACUGACCACUUCUAAAUCUCUCUGCUUUUCUUUUUUCUCUUUGCUUCAGAGGAAUCCCAGGAAGGUGUGUUCCAAACUCUUUGAAGUUGUUAGACGUCGAAUGAUUCGCCGUGUUCUUACAUCAGCGCAGCGACAGCGACUCUCGUCCAACAAUAACAAGAAGAAAAAUUAGACAGUAUUUUUACAUUUCUUUCUGUAUCUGAAGUGUUCACACUUACACAUAUAGGACAAUAAGCAGGACCGUCUGGGCCGGUCUGCAUAAAUGCUGUAAACAUACCAGAUUGAUGCUGCAUAUAGGGUAUGGAACUGCACAGCCAUCUUCUAGGAACUGUAAAGUGGUUUGAAUUCCGUGAAAUGCUGCUGUGUAGGAGGAGAUCGGUUUUGUUCAUGAUUCACCUCAUUACUAUAGCAGCACAGCUUUUCACCAUUUCCUUUAGUGCAUCAUGUUCUUGUUUAUUUUUCAGAUUCCAAGAUCUUAAUUUUUUCAUUACUUGAAUUCUUGUAUUUUAUAUUUUUAAAGGGUUAUUUAUUUACCUCCUCUUUAUUUUGCACAUUUCUCAUACCACAGGUAUUGAAGCCCCUGAGUGAUAAUUUGAUGGAGGAUAACAUGAGGCAGUCUGUAACAAACUCUAUCAAAGCAGGCCUGACCGAACAGGUGUCUCAUCGUGCCCGAUUAAAGACAGACUGACCAUUCAUCUCCUCUUCAACUCUGCCCUCUCAUCCUAGACAUGCUGUACAAUGAGAACUCAAUAAAAAUAAACCAAAGUUUACAAUCAA